rnacentral:rRNA from 1 species
UAGUAACUGCGAGUGAAGCGGGAAGAGCUCAAAUUUAAAAUCUGGCGGUCUUCUGGCCGUCCGAGUUGUAGUCUGGAGAAGUGUUUUCCGCGUCGGACCGUGUACAAGUCUCCUGGAACGGAGCGUCAUAGAGGGUGAGAAUCCCGUCCAUGACACGGAUCCUCCGAUGCUAUGUGAUACGCUUUCAAAGAGUCGAGUUGUUUGGGAAUGCAGCUCAAAACGGGUGGUAAAUUCCAUCUAAAGCUAAAUAUUGGCGAGAGACCGAUAGCGAACAAGUACCGUGAGGGAAAGAUGAAAAGCACUUUGGAAAGAGAGUUAAACAGUACGUGAAAUUGUUGAAAGGGAAACGCUUGAAGUCAGUCGCGUCCCUUGGAACUCAGCCUUGCUUCGGCUUGGUGUACUCUCUGAGUGGACGGGUCAACGUCAGUUUCUGCCGACGGAGAAAGGGAGGGGGAAUGUGGCGCCGCUUCGGCGGCGUGUUAUAGCCUCCUUCCUGAUGCGUCGGUGGGGACUGAGGACCGCAGCGCGCCUUCUUGGCCGGGGGUUCGCCCCACGUACCGCGCUUAGGAUGUUGGCAUAAUGGCUUUAAGCGACCCGUCUUGAAACACGGACCAAGGAGUCUAACAUGUUUGCGAGUGUUCGGGUGGAAAACCCUUGCGCGUAAUGAAAGUGAAAGUUGGGAACCUCCGCGAGGGGGUGCACCGACGCCCGGCCCUGACGUUCUCUGACGGUGCUGCGGUAGAGCAAGUAUGCUGGGACCCGAAAGAUGGUGAACUAUGCCUGAAUAGGGCGAAGCCAGAGGAAACUCUGGUGGAGGCUCGUAGCGAUUCUGACGUGCAAAUCGAUCGUC